AGAAGAUUGUAGUCAAUUUCUGCCUGAAUUUAAUGUUUUGUUUAUGUGUUGUUUUUGUUUUUUGGAAAUGGGAGGAGUGUGCAGGCACAAGAAUUAAAUGAUAAAAGUCAUAUGGUUAGAUGAAGUAAGUACAUUGAACAUUCAAACGAAUUAAGGAUAAAUUCAAUGCAAUGUGUUUGGUUUUUUUAAAAAAUAUUUGUUAGUACACACCAUGCACAGGGGUGAGGUUUCUGUCACUGGACCUUCUCCAAAUAGGCCUUAUUUAUUAAUUAUUUGAAGCAAUGGUGUAAGGAGAUGGUUAUUAUCUGUGCGAUUUACAUAUCUAAGACACACGUUCCCAGAAGUUGAUCCAAUCAUCCUUUCCUAGAACUAUUCUGGAAAUAGUUUUCAUCACUCAUUCUUUCAUUUGAGUUUUCUGAAUUCAUUAAAAUAAAGAUUUUAACUGAAGAGUUAUAGAGUGUAUUUUAUUAGACUGAAAGACAAUACCUGAACAACAUCUUGGGCUCCUUGUAGAAACUGAACCAGCUGGUAGUUAUUAUUUAGCAAAGUCCUGACUUGAUUUUUCAGCCAGCUCCUAAUUUUUCAGAAACAGCCACCACCGUGACCCUUACUGAUUCCUCUAAUGCUGUCAUGGAGGAUGUCCCUAAGGAAGAGUGGCGCCCACUAUCUCUCCCCUUAUCCUCCCACGCUGAGCGAGUACAGGAUACUCCUGUUAUCGGGGCACUCUCCCCUUAGCAGGAUGUGUCUAAUGCCGGAUACAGAAUUAAUGAUUUUGUUGCCCUAGGCCCUCUGCCAAGGGUCUCCUUGUUUAGUGACAGUAAAGAGAACAGGUCUCAGAAAGUCAUCCAAACAAAAUAAAUGUAACUUGUCAGCCCUGGAAAGUGAAGACAGUUUACAGUGUUACCUCCCCCACUGUCUGUCUGCUGCAUCUCCCCAAGAGUUCAACUACCCAAGGCCAUUACAUCAUCAGGAAGGAAUUUUUAAAUCAGUUAUUGGUAAAACUUACUGAGAGGAGCCAUAGAAUUUGUCACAAUUGGCUCAACUGCUUUAUCACUUUGAAGAAGAAAAGUAAAUUCUAGGAAGCAAAAAAUUUUAACAGGUCUUGACCUGCACAAAUAAACCAUAAAACACCUUUUGAGUAAAACCAAAAUAUAUUCAAUAUCUAGCCUUAAUCUUAGUUAGACUAUAACUUUUCUUUCCCAAAGGAAAAUAAUCUGAGGUUGUUAUAUUGAUAACAAUUUGCAGUACCAUUUCCAAACAUGGACUGUUUCUCUGCUCUUCUUUCUGGCUAACCUAUUUUGAGAGAAUCACAAAAGGAGAAUAGU